rnacentral:misc_RNA from 3 species
AACGCACAUUGCGCCCCCUGGUAUUCCGGGGGGCAUGCCUGUUCGAGCGUCAUUUAUACCAAUCUAGCCUGGCUAGGUGUUGAGCGCCGCCGCCUGGCGGGCCUUAAAACUAGUGGCGGUGCUCUCAAGCUCUACGCGUAGUAAUCUUCUCGCUACAGGGUCUUGGGAGAUGCUAGCCAGCAACCCCAAAUUUUUCUAGGUUGACCUCGGAUCAGGUAGGGAUACCCGCUGAACUUAA